CGGAGGGUGCUAAGCGUUAUCCGGAUUCACUGGGUUUAAAGGGAGCGCAGGCGGACUGGUAAGUCAGUGGUGAAAUACCUGAGCUUAACUCGGGAACUGCCAUUGAUACUAUCAGUCUUGAAUGUUGUUGAGGUUUGCGGAAUGGGUCAUGUAGCGGUGAAAUGCAUAGAUAUGACCCGGAACACCUAUUGCGAAGGCAGCAGGCUAAACAAAUAUUGACGCUGAGGCUCGAAAGCGUGGGGAUCAAACAGGAUUAGAUACCCUGGUAGUCCACGCCCUAAACGAUGAUUACUCGACAUACGCGAUACACUGUGUGUGUCUGAGCGAAAGCAUUAAGUAAUCCACCUGGGAAGUACGACCGCAAGGUUG
rnacentral:rRNA from 1 species